rnacentral:lncRNA from 1 species
UUUAUGUAUUUUCAUUCUUUCAGAUGACUAACUUAUUAUUUUUUUUUUUGCACAGUGAAACAGAGGGUCAGAACAGUGAGGAAAGAGGAGAAGAAAGUAACCAAGGAGGAGAAGCCCGCUGUCGAGGGCAAGAAGAAGACGAUUACAGCGAAGACGAAACCUGUUAAACCAGCUAAAGAAAAGGCUCCAGUUAAAGCCGCCCCAGAGGAGCAAAAACCAGCCAAGGACAUAGAAGAAAAACCAACUGAGCCACCUGCACCAGCAAAAGCUGAAGAAAAUGUUACUGAGGGCAAGAAACCAGGAAAGAUCCCGUACUUCCAGUGUGUAUUAGUGGGUGGAAAAGGCAGUCAGUAUCCACUGCGCCCGCUGUCUCCUGCUAUGACUCCUGCUAUUAACCCAGCCAUGAUGAGAGCCAUGAUGGAGCAGAGAGCCAGCGUGCUGGAGCAGAAGGCCAAGGAAUCAGGACAGUAA